GUGAUCUCUUGUGCAGCACAUAUACUAAAAUUGAAAUGAUUCAGAGAAGAUUAGCAUGGCCCCUAUGCAAGACAACAAACUCAUAAAGCAUUCCAUAUUUUA